rnacentral:rRNA from 1 species
GACGUAGGGCGCGAGCGUUGUCCGGAUUUAUUGGGCGUAAAGAGCUCGUAGGCGGCUUGUCGCGUCGUUCGUGAAAACCCACAGCUCAACUGUGGGCUUGCGGUCGAUACGGGCAGGCUCGAGUUCGGUAGGGGAGACUGGAAUUCCUGGUGUAGCGGUGAAAUGCGCAGAUAUCAGGAGGAACACCGGUGGCGAAAGCGGCUCUCUGGGACGGUACCGACGCUGAGACGCGAAAGCGUGGGGAGCGAACAGG